GUGAGAACUCAGUGUCCCAAAGCUGCCUUAGUCAAACUCCACUGUUUAAAAGGAUGAUGCUGUCAUUUUCUAAAUUUCCUUCGCUUUUGAACUACAAGAACUCUAAAGAACUUCUGGUUGGACCAAAAUUAGCAUGGCUGACAAAAAGGUCUGAUGAAAGAUAUUUCCUUUAAAGUAGAAUUCGAUGCAUCCAAGCCAAAGACCCCAGAAUAAUCUGUCAUAGCCUUAACCAGAAUCCAACAGGAAAU